AGAGUUUGAUCCUGGCUCAGAUUGAACGCUGGCGGCAGGCCUAACACAUGCAAGUCGAGCGGAAACGGCAAUAAAGAUUCUUCGGAUGAUUUAUUGGACGUCGAGCGGCGGACGGGUGAGUAAUGCUUAGGAAUUUGCCCAGUCGAGGGGGAUAACUAUUGGAAACGAUAGCUAAUACCGCAUACGCUCCUUUCUGUAAUGGUAAGGAGGAAAGAGGGGGCUCUUCGGACCUCUCGCGAUUGGAUAAGCCUAAGUGAGAUUAGCUAGUUGGUGAGGUAAUAGCUCACCAAGGCGACGAUCUCUAGCUGGUCUGAGAGGAUGAUCACCCACACUGGGACUGAGACACGGCCCAGACUCCUACGGGAGGCAGCAGUGGGGAAUAUUGCACAAUGGGGGAAACCCUGAUGCACCCAUGCCGCGUGUGUGAAGAAGGCCUUCGGGUUGUAAAGCACUUUCAGCAGUGAGGAAGAUGUGUAGAUUAAUACUCUGCACAUUUGACGUUAGCUGCAGAAGAAGCACCGGCUAACUCCGUGCCAGCAGCCGCGGUAAUACGGAGGGUGCGAGCGUUAAUCGGAAUUACUGGGCGUAAAGCGCAUGCAGGUGGUUUGUUAAGUCAGAUGUGAAAGCCCGGGGCUCAACCUCGGAAGGUCAUUUGAAACUGGCAAGCUAGAGUACUGUAGAGGGGGGUAGAAUUUCAGGUGUAGCGGUGA
rnacentral:rRNA from 1 species